UGCAUUUCCGCCAGAGCCACCGCGCCUUCCAAGCCUCAAGUGCAAAGCGUGACCGAACUCCUGCUUCCCCAGUCGAGACCAAUAAUGAAUUUGCUCCACCUGUUGGUCGUGGUGAUCGCUGCCAUGCUCGGCUCCGCGCACGCCCUUCCCGACCCCGACCCCAUGGCCGAUGCUGGGCACGACCUGGUGGUCCGAGGAUACGUGCAGCCUCCUCGCUUCCACUACCGAGGCUUCCACAGGCCUUACCCCAAGUUCGACUGGGAAUAAGAGGUUUCAACACGGACGUUCCUUCUGCAGGGGGCACCCUGGCUGUCCUGCUCGUCCUCCUCCCCUACGAUAGAUGAAACUUGAUAAAUUUAUUCCUAGGACGUCGCAGCAGGAUAUGUGAUGCGAGGCUUUUGGUGUGGCUCUUUGUAUUCAGGAUCUGAGGUUGGAGGGUCAUGAGUGGCAAGGAGUCUAGGAUUUGGUUCAUCGGAAGGUGGCGUAGGAUCUGGGGAAUUUUGGAUAUUUUAUUUUUAUUUUUUAUUUAGUUUUUUUGUUUUGUUUUGUUUUGUUUUGUUUACUUCAUGGAGGGUCUUGUUAUUUUUCGAGAGUGAUUUUUUGCUUUUGUAGGAUAUGGAAAGUGUUGAUUUUGUUGGAUGGAUAUAUGAUUUUUUUUUUCUUAUAGAUGGUUUCUGCUAGUUUUCACGAGUCUCGAUAUGGAAUGAAAAAAUAUAUAUAUACAGACAGAAAGAAGCCAACGACGCUGUUUAUUGCUAUAUAUUAAAAAAAAAAAAAAAACAUGUCCCUGAAAUGCUGCUGUAACGUCCGUGUAAACUUUCACACAACUGUAAUUGUAUUACAUAUGGAUAUGCUGUAUUUUGCAGUCCAUACGAAGGAUUGAAAAAUAAAAUGAAACAUUCCCAA